GCCAAAACGAACCCAUCUCCUAAUGGGAAAAGAACAAAGUUUGGAGAAUCACUGUACCACCUCAUUGUUUGCUCAUGAGAAGGCAGGGAAAUAGGCAGAAAUACUAAGGAAGAUCCCAGACAGAAAUUUCCACAGGUUGGCAAACAGCUCCCAGCUGGAGAAAAGAGGGAGCCAGACUAGAAAUCAAGAGUUGUUGUUGUGUGCUGUCAAGUAAGAACCGGUUUAUAAGAAUGGACGUGAGCAGAUCAUGACCACCAACGUAUGGCUCAAUCAGGAUAUUAAUCUCUGUGUUGGGAAGCAAAGAACAAAACAUUUUCCUGGAUGUCUAACUCCUGAAAAGAAGGCUUCUCUUGAGAGCUCCCACGAAGCGCUUGGUUGAUUCAUUCCAUUCCAGCCAAUUUUUUUUUUCAAUCUAUACUUUGUGACAGAAAUUAAUUGUCUUAAAAUGUUCGAAAUGGCAAAAGCCCAGAAAAUGUUAGUCUAGCAGGUGUGUGUGUGUGUGUGUGUGUGUGUGUGUGUGUGUGUGUUUUAAACGCAGACUGUCAGGAGGCAGUUGAAUCACAGGCAGCUUUGCUUUUAAGGACAUGCCUCUGUUUAGACUGACAUUGGUUUAAUAAUCACAGCUCCAUUGCAGCAAUUAUCUCCACCCUAGCGUGGGAAGGUACAAGUGUUCUAGAGAGAGCAGUUGCCCUUGAGGAGGAGGAAUGAAGAGAAAAGGGUGAAAAUACCCUCCUGAACCAUCAUCAUAUGUUGCUGGCUUACAGGGGGGGCCCUUUCACUGCUCUCCUGAAGACGAACAACCAGCUGCAUCCACCUUUGGGACUUGGCAAGCACUUUGGUAGGUGAGGGCGAAUACAGACGCAGCCACCUCCCGAGAAAGUUUCCUGUAGCCAUUUGCUGCUUCAAAAUACUUCUCUGCACAGCGCUUCUCUUUCCUGUGCUAAAUAUGAACAUCUCCAAAACAUAUUGCAGAUUGCAUAUGUUUUAAUUUGCUGUAAAACUUUCGCCAAUUAAAUCUUUUACAAGCUCCACUUUGUUACCAAAAUAUUCUAAAAAAGGACAGGCUGCUUCCUGCAUAUGUUUCUGGGUUUUAUUUGUUUUUCGUUUGUUUGGAGGUCCCCCCACUUUAAAACGGUUUUGCUUAACUAGGACUUUGGAAUAGGUAAUAUUGUGAAAAGGGCAUCUCUCAGUAAGCCAGGUAGCCCAUAUAAUAAUACUUUAAAAAAAACCUGACAACAAUCAGUAUAUGUCUUUUCCUAGCACUAUAAUUAUCAUUUGUUUGUUACUUAAACACAGAGCGCCAAAUCUUUUAAACAAAUUAAUACUGUACUAUUGUCAAGUAGGAUAGAUGUUCAGCCUAUGCUUUCACCCUGGUAACUACAUAGAAUAUCCUUAAGUGGUUUAAAAUAAAAUAUUGAAUUUCUCUGAG
rnacentral:lncRNA from 1 species